ensembl:lncRNA
GGACAAACUGGAUUGCAUUGUGGAUUGCACAAUGGAUUGCACUGUGCUCUUGGAGCCUCCAGCAGAGAGGGGCUGUGAGAAUAAGUGCAAGGAAGGCUAUGGGUGCAUGAAGGGUCAACAGUGGGAACGCCAACAUUUAGUGGGAUAAACUAAGGGAGGAACAGAAGUCAGUAAAAGGACAGGAUAGCACAAAGUAGAAGAGAUUAAUGCAGAAGAACAAUUUCUAUAAGCAAAAAAGCCCACACCUUGACACAGAAGGGAUUACUUUUUAAUAUCAUCCUCGUUGCUCUUCUGGUAUUCUUGAUUUCUCCAGCUUCGAUCUGGGACGUGCAGGAGGUGGCUGCUGCCAUCACAGGAGUUCCUCCCCCAGACAACCCACACCAUAAACGUUAUUGCCCUAUAAAGAGCACUCCGCAGCUUGUCAGGGAUCCCCAAAGCCGGCAUUAGGAAAUCAGCAGCAGGCACCAUCCCCAUCCCCCAGCCUGCUCCGCCAUUCACUUCCAAUUAUGCUAAAUCAGGACUCUGAAUUUUGGGUGAGAGCCAAACUGCCAAUCCCAUAAUCAGUUAUGAACAACGUGGGCAACAUCUAUCUAAUCUGUAAAUGACCGGCUAGUCUGAGAGGCUCCUGUAACGAGGCUGGAACAGCCUCUGCCUGGGUAAUUAUUCACGUCUGGAAAGGGGGAAGAAAUCCCCUCUGGGAAGUGCUGGUUUAUAGGGCAUCACAACCUGGUGCAGCACAUUUCCUCAAGGGUAGGAAAAACUGUAGGAAAACGAGGGGAAAAAAAGGAGAUUUCAGGAUUGGAGUUGGGGUUUUGGUUGCUUUCAGGGACAAGAACUGUGACCACAGGGCUUGUGGGCAUCAUCAGGUGUGAGAUGAUCGCAGCAAUGCAGGUGCAGCAGCGGAGGGGUGAUGUUCCUUCUCCAGCCCCACGUGGGAGCAGCGUCUGGGGAAAACCAAAGCAAUGCCACUGCUUUGCUGGGUCUGAGCAUCCCUUGCACAGGUCCAAAGGCUCAGAAGAGAGGGAGUAAGCUUUAUGGGAACAGCUCACUUUUCCCUGCUAUCGGGGUGCUCUCUGGCACUGCACGCUCCCUGCAUGGGCACGCAGGAGGAACUUCCAGCCUUCAUCGCUCACCCUUCAGCACAGAGCUGAGCCUCCAUCUGCUCUGACGCCUUUCCCAUCUCCUGCAGCCCUCAGCAGCACAGGUAAGAAUACCAGCGAUAAAAAAUUAAAAGCUACAAUAAACAUUAUUGAUGCCAUUCCUAACGAGACAGAGGAAGAGAAAGAGGGGAUGCUGCGGUGAUAAAUAUCGUCUGUCAGCAAUAAAUUACAGCCAUCAUUAGGUUUCUACAGCGGGGCCUGACAAAUUAUUUUGUGGAAGUGCGUGCUUAGCCACGUCUCUCACAGUCUCAGCCGUUCGGAGGCUGCACCUUAAAAAAAGAUCAAUCCAAUUGAUUCUGUAUUGAGCUGGGAUGCACAGCGGCGUGCGGGAGGAGUGCUCGGUGCUGGUACUGCUCCCACUGGGCCGCAUCCAGCUGCUGCUGGCUGGGAUGCAGAGCAGCACUGGGAUGUUCUGUCUGGGGCUGCAGGCUGCCCCGACCCCGUGUUCUGCAGGACGUGAGAAUCAAUGCCCUUUUAAAAACAAAAGCGAAGGAUUCCUUCCUUGGGUACGACGCGCUGGGAGCUCUGCCUUCCCUUUUUUGCUCUCCUGUCUCACAGUGCACAAAGCUGCUGGGAGUCCUUGUCCUGUGCCUGGCCAUGAGUGACCCUGGGGUGCCUCCACCACACACCUCACAGACCUCAAUUUGCAGACGAAUGGAGAAAAGGGAGGAAAAAAAAAAAGCCUGUACUACGCGGUCUUUACAAAAGCCAUUCAUCGCAGUGCUUUUACUAACAGGCAUCAAAUGAGAUUCCUGCAGUAGAUGAUUUGUUUUGUCCUUCUCCUGCCGGCUCAGAUUAAUCUCUGCUCCUGAAGUGGCGGUGUCAUUUCUCGGAGACAUACAGCAGCAGGAAUCGCAAAGCCCCAUAAAUUCACCUCAAUUCAGGAUCCAUCCGUCUUCCUCCCCGCUCUCCAUCCCCACACUCUGCAGGGCAAGGGCAGCCCCAUGGUACCUCAUAAAUAGCCUGGCCUCAGAGCAGGAGCAGCUGGAGCACUGGUGGGAUGCUCACGGUCGAGAGCAGCGCCUUCUGCUGCUUGCCUGCCCUUGGGACCAGCAGGGAGACAGAGCAAUGGCCGAAGGAAAAGCAGAGAGGCUGGCCGGUGAAACAGAUGUUUAAGCAAUUUUGAAACUCAGUGCCCGCACAGCAACCGUGUGGAACCCCAAGGAGUUAUUCCAUCAGCAGCAUCACUACUGUGAUUUGCUGGAUCACCACUGCAAUCAGCUCCAGUGCCUAGCGAGGAACCUGAAGAGGAAGAGACAUAGGUAGAAAUGAAACAGAGAGAAAAGGACUUAAAGGAAGGGAGAGAAGGGGAGAGGUCAGGAAGGAUGAGAGCACCGCAAAGAAGUGGCCAAGCAAAGACAAUGCCUACAUGGGGAUUGCUGGCAGCUCACGGACACUGCCUUGUUUUUCCAGCAGCACUCUCAAGAGGAAAAGAUUUCAUCCCAAGUGCUGCUCCUUGAGCAGGCAAUCAUCUCUACCAUAACUGUGUGGGCUCUGGAGAAAUAAAUUAAGCCAGGCAGGCUCAAUCACAGUUGUGGCAGAGGCAAAGGAUUUAUGGCUGCAAGGCUCAGGGACGCAGGAUGCAGCGUGAUUCUGCAAACCCUCCUGCCCAGUGUUACAGGAGAUCACACUGGGUCCAGGCGACAAAGGAUGCCCUGGUCCCGUGGCACCCAUAUCCGGCAAGAAGAGUGCCUGUGUCCAAAAAAUAACAUUUCUAUGCCAUCUGGUAGGAUUAAGCAGCCCUGAGCAACUGCAUCCAGACCAUGGCAUCCAAGGAGAAACAUCAGACACCAAAGGUGCUUGGGUCCUGAGUGUCAGAAGGAAAUGUUUGGCUGCUUUGUACAAACGGGCAAGGGCAAAGCUAGAAAGCAGAGGUAUUUGCUUGUUCCUCACCCUUCACGUAAUGAAAAGCAAUAACAGAGAACAGUGGGAAGGAGAGGCACUAACAGCCUGGAUUUAUCCAGCUGUUGGAGAAAAAUCUCUACUGCUGACCUCUCGAUGAAAGUGUAGAUAACUGUUUUAGUUUUCAGAGAGGAUAGCCUCAAUUCUUGCAAAAAUCCCAUUUCUAGUCUUCAGGGGACUGAGCAGGGCCUUGAUCUAUAGCUCCAGUUUUCAAAGAGCAAAUGAAAUGCUUUCUCUUUUCAUCCAUAUCCCGCAAGGGCCAACCAUCAUGAAAAAUGGGAGCGCCUCCCUCGCAGGAGAUUACCAGUGAAAUUUCCUGGCUGAAAACCUGGGUUCUGUUCACCACUGCUAUUGUGGGUAAGAGUGUCCCAGGCCGACUCUUGCCUUUGAGAGCCUCCUGCAUUCAGCAUGCAAUGCAUGAUGGGGAGAAGGAAAGGAGGGGGGGUCAAGGGAAGGUGGGGAUUUAGGAGCUGGAGGAAGGAGGAAAAGGAAGAGGAAGAGGAGAGAGAGAAAGAAGGAGAAGGAGGACAAAGACAAAGCAAAGACAAAGAUGAAGACAAAGACAAAGAUGAUGACGAUGAAGAUGAAGACAAAGAGCAGAUAUCUCCUCUGGAAGCAAGAAGCAGACACUGGAAUUGAGUAUUUUCAGCCUUUGAGGUUUUGUAGCCCGCAAAAACAUCUUCACUGCUCCCUGGAGAACUUCUGAUCCAUCCAGCAAUAACUGAGAGAGCACGUUGGGAGAUGUCUGACAGAGUGCCUUUGGGACUUUUUGAAUCUGUAGAUGAAGAGUUUCACUUUCCUCUAGGAAAAUGUCAGGGCAAAAAGAGCCAUGUUCCAGGUUGACCAAAACCAAUAAUUCUUUUAGUUUUCUUAUUUGGGCAUGGCCGUGGGUUGUUUCCACGCCAUCUUAUUCCCAGGAGUCACGAAAAGCAGCAGCUCCAUUGAUUUGAAGCGGGCUCAUCUGAAAACUAAACUCCAAAAAUGCCCAGUUUAUUGGUGCAGCUGCAGGGAUGACAUGACAAGAGCUGAGAAAGGGCACUGGGGCUGCUCAGGAAAGGGGUGAUUUCUUGCCCAGGGCUGAAGCCAUUCGCAGAUUUGAGGCUUGAGACACUUGAAGAUUUCUGGGAAAGGAACAAUGGAUUUGCUAAGUAUUAUUAUUUAAGUGACAAGGCUGAAAAUUGAAAAGAAAAUCUGUUUACCAAAAAUAACAAUAGUAGAUAUUUGUCAUCACUGUCAGACCCAUGCAAUUUCAUAGGUUUCAUAAGCUCCCAUUAAUUUUCUUGUUUGGGAGGAUUUGCUGUUUUAAUGAAACCUAUUUACACUGGCAACUGCUGGAAAAUCAUUCAUUAGUGGACAAGAACUAUUGAUUAUUUUCAUCCAACUACUCAGCCACGUAGUAGCCAAUUACUGGAACCAAGAAAUAAAGAAAUAUCAACAUUGUGUUCCUGCUCCUAUUUCCAGCAGAACUUUGCUCCC